UACGAACUGUGCGAACGUUAUUCGGAAUCACUGGGCUUACAGGGUGCGUAGGCGGCUUGUCAAGUAGGGUGUGAAAGCCCCCGGCUCAACCGGGGAAUGGCGCCCUAAACUGGCGAGCUAGAGUGAGAUAGGGGUGUGUGGAACUUCCGGCGGAGCGGUGAAAUGUGUUGAUAUCGGAAGGAACGCCGGUGGCGAAAGCGACACACUGGAUCUUGUCUGACGCUGAGGCACGAAAGCCAGGGGAGCGAACGGG
rnacentral:rRNA from 1 species